UCAGAGAUGAGAUCUUGUUUCACAAUCGACCAUAAACAAACUAGUAUAAACCAAGGAAGUAAUUUAAUAGAAGAUAUACCCGGAAAAUCAUUCAUUUAAACGAAUUCAUUCAGUUUAAGCAGAAAUAGUGCAAUCCUAUUUCCAAAUGAUAACCUCGCCGAAUAGUUUUUAUUUCAAUAAAGGAAGGACUAAAACUGAUACAGGAAUGCAAAUAUGAAGAAUUUGGGCUACCAAGCAAAAUAUAAUGUUAAGAAGCUGCUUUCUUGGAACCGGACCAUUCGUAUUGGACAUUUGUCAUUGAUGUUUUCUAAAAAUAAAUCUAUUUGAAAAAUAAAGAACAGUUUUUGGAAGUUUUGGUUUUCUAGGAAAUUAAUACACGAGUACGAUGAGAAACUAAAAAUUGGGAUAGGAAUUGCCUAUAAAAGGAAACUUUGUUGAUUACAUUAUAAUCUUUUCGCCCUUGUACAACAAACAUACGGUUACCGAACAAAAUGGCAGACUUACUGCGUGGUCUGAAAUUGA
rnacentral:lncRNA from 1 species